UCCCAGAUCCAUACAUAUUAUGUCCCAUCAUCAUCAUCAUAGAAGAUGGAACUCCAACUCCAUGACCAUAAACUCCACCACUACCCUCACCAACAUUCCCAUCUCUCUGAUCACUCCUACCAAUCAUAGCACUCUUCUCUCCUUCCAUCUCCCUAUACUUACUCAAAUAAAUCUUGAGUGGCUCAACAUAAUCUUCAAAUCCAAGAGUUGUCAUAGCCCAAAGAAGAUCAUCACCG
rnacentral:lncRNA from 1 species